rnacentral:rRNA from 1 species
UUAACGCGAAGGAACUUACCUACUUUUUAUCGUGCAGAGAACCCCGAGAGAUGAUCUGAUGCCUUCGGGAACUCUGAGACAGGUGCUGCAUGGCUGUCGUCAGCUCGUGUUGUGAAAUGUUGGGUUAAGUCGCGCAACGAGCGCAACCCUUAUCCUUUUUUGCCAGCGGUUCGGCCGGGAACUCAAAGGAGACUGCCAGUGAUAAACUGGAGGAAGCUGGGGAUGACGUCAAGUCAUCAUGGCCCUUACGAGUAGGGCUACACACGUGCUACAAUGGCGCAUACAAAGAGAAGCGACCUCGCGAGAGCAAGCGGACCUCAUAAAGUGCGUCGUAGUCCGGAUUGGAGUCUGCAACUCGACUCCAGAAGUCGGAAUCGCUAGUAAUCGUAGAUCAGAAUUCCACGGGAAU